CGUCAAAUCAUCAUGCCCCUUAUGACCUGGGCUACACACGUGCUACAAUGGCUGGUACAGAGGGCAGCGAAGCCGCGAGGCGGAGCGAAUCUCACAAAGCCAGUCUCAGUUCGGAUUGCAGGCUGCAACUCGCCUGCAUGAAGCAGGAAUUGCUAGUAAUCGCGGAUCAGCAUGCCGCGGUGAAUACGUUCCCGGGUCUU
rnacentral:rRNA from 1 species